CAAUCUCUUUCGGGGUAGUUGCAAUGACGCCAUCCAAGCCAAGUAGUGAAUGAAUAGCAUUGUAAGCCGCUCUUGCCUUGGUUACUCUGUGAAAGAAAUUAGUGUUCUGAUCUCCAACUAUUAGCCAAUGAAUUCUUGAUUUUUGUUUGAAGAAGGCUUCCUCAAUUCCCCUGAGCAUUGCUAACUUUUCUAGGCAUUUCUUCUCUUUCUCAAAAUUGGAAAUUGUUGGCUGGUUCAGAGCAAGCACCUGCACAUGUUUUAACAAACAGUUAGCCUCGCAAACCCUCUUUUGAAUUUCUGAAAAAUUGUUUGUGUUUAAAGCUUUCAAAUCCCCUCUCAAUCUCUUCUGCUUAAAACUCAUUUUUCUUAGGGAGUAAUCCUCAGUUUCAGAGCAAAUCCAAGCAUGGGCUACAGUAGAUAAGAAGUCUGGGUGAGAAGUAAGGUAGUUAAAGAAUUUGAAAGGUUUAGAGCCAGUUACAGGAAGGGGAGAAGCUAGGCUGAUGAGGCAGGGAGAGUGAUCAGAGAUUUGUUCAGGGGCUAGAAAGGUUGCUAGGCUUUGGGGAAAUGUUGAGAGCCAUUCUUCAUUGAUUAGUGCCCUAUCAAGUUUCUUGGCAAUAGGGUUGGAAUCUUGUUUAUUAGUCCAGGUGAAAGUUGGCCCAUAGUACCGAAGAUCUCUGACUUCUAGAGUUUGAAUGCAGUCCUUGAACUUUAUCAUGUUGCUGGUGAACUGAUUCCUUGAUGCAGAGGAGUGUUCAGAGUGAUGAAUAAUUUCAUUAAAAUCUCCCCCUAAGAGCCACAGUACUGAAUGAAGAGCAAGGGCUGAUUGAAUAGCUUCCAACUCACUCCAUAAGACCUCUCUUUCCUCCACAGUAUUUGCUGCAUACACCGCAGUAAAAAAGAAAGUUCUCAUUCUAGUGCAGCUUAUCUGACAAGUAGUCAUUUGUUGGAUUUAUGGAUGACAUUGACUACUAGAGGACCUUUCCAGAUGAUUACAAUUCUACCAUCAGCAUCCUCCGAAUGGUUUGAGGUAAAAGACCAAGAUGGGCAUAAAUCUGUCAUUACACGGUUCAGAUUAGAUUCUUUUAUAUGAGUUUCCAAAAGGGCUCCAAAAGAUACUUUAUUACUAUUAAGCCAGAUCUUAAAAGCAUGAUGCUUCUCAGUGUCAUUAAUUCCUCUGACAUUCCAAAAAAAAGUUUGUAUAGACAUAAGAAAGGUUAGGAAUGAGACUCCCCUUUAGAGAGGGAAGAACCCGAAGACUGGGUAAAUCUAAAAGCAUUUGGGAUACUUAGGAUUGGCAAAGACAGAUCAGGCAUAUGGGAGGAUUUUGAAGUGGUGUUAGAGAAGGAAGUUAAAGGAGCUGGAGGCUCAAAAGAAUUUUGGGGUUGGGUAAUGGUAAUAGAAGGCUGAAAGGGUUUAUGGGUUUGGGUUUGGGGGGAAGCUUGGGUAUUUGAGAUUGUGAAAUUAGGAGAGACAACAAGGUUAGAUGAGGGGUAGUCCUCCAUCAACGAUGAAGAUGACGCAGGAGCAUCCUCAAGGUUUGCUAAACAAGAGAAAUAGUUUCUUUUAGUGGUGACUAACUGUUUUUUGACAACAUGGUUUUUGGCUGCAGGUUUUGAAGAAACUUGGGUCCAAGAAGAGUCU
rnacentral:lncRNA from 1 species